UACGAGGGGCGAGGCGUUGUUCGGAAUUAUUGGGCGUAAAGGGUGCGUAGGCGGUUUGGUAAGUCUGAUGUGAAAUCUAUGGGCUCAACUCAUAGUCUGCAUCGGAAACUGCCGGGCUUGAGUGUGGGAGAGGUGAGUGGAAUUCCUGGUGUAGCGGUGAAAUGCGUAGAUAUCAGGAGGAACACCUGUGGCGAAAAGCGGCUCACUGGACCAUAACUGACGCUGAUGCACGAAAGCUAGGGGAGCAAACAGG
rnacentral:rRNA from 1 species